rnacentral:rRNA from 1 species
UAGGGAAUCUUCGGCAAUGGACGGAAGUCUGAUCGAGCAACGCCGCGUGAGUGAAGAAGGUUUUCGGAUCGUAAAGCUCUGUUGUAAGAGAAGAACGAGUGUGAGAGUGGAAAGUUCACACUGUGACGGUAUCUUACCAGAAAGGGACGGCUAACUACGUGCCAGCAGCCGCGGUAAUACGUAGGUCCCGAGCGUUGUCCGGAUUUAUUGGGCGUAAAGCGAGCGCAGGCGGUUAGAUAAGUCUGAAGUUAAAGGCUGUGGCUUAACCAUAGUACGCUUUGGAAACUGUUUAACUUGAGUGCAAGAGGGGAGAGUGGAAUUCCAUGUGUAGCGGUGAAAUGCGUAGAUAUAUGGAGGAACACCGGUGGCGAAAGCGGCUCUCUGGCUUGUAACUGACGCUGAGGCUCGAAAGCGUGGGGAGCAAACAGGAUUAGAUACCCUGGUAGUCCACGCCGUAACGAUGAGUGCUAGGUGUUAGACCCUUUCCGGGGUUUAGUGCCGCAGCUAACGCAUUAAGCACUCCGCCUGGGGAGUACGACCGCAAGGUU